rnacentral:rRNA from 1 species
UGCAGGGUAUUAUCUGUAUAGGAGCAUUUGUGGCCUUUGUCAGAUCUCAGAAGCUAAGCAAGGUCAGGCCUGGUUACUGGUACUUGGAUGGGAGACCACUGGGAAUAUCAGGUACCACAGUGG